rnacentral:rRNA from 1 species
UACGGAGGGUGCGAGCGUUGUCCGGAAUCAUUGGGCGUAAAGGGCGCGUAGGUGGCGGGACAAGCGUGCGGUGAAAGCCUGGGGCUCAACCCCGGGUCGGCCGUGCGAACUGUUUUGCUUGAGCACUGUAGAGGCAGGCGGAAUUCCGGGUGUAGCGGUGGAAUGCGCAGAUAUCGGGAGGAACACCUAUGGCGAAGGCAGCUCGCUGGGACGUUACUGACGCUGAGACGCGAAAGCGUGGGGAGCAAACAGG